rnacentral:rRNA from 1 species
UUGGAGGGCAAGUCUGGUGCCAGCAGCCGCGGUAAUUCCAGCUCCAACAGCGUAUAUUAAAGUUGUUGCAGUUAAAAAGCUCGUAGUUGAAUUUCGGGAUCAAUACGUCGGUCGUGCUUUUUUGGUACGCACUGGCGUCAUUGGUUUCUCCUUUCUGACGAACCAUGAUGUCAUUAAUUUGGUGUUAUGGGGAGUUAGGACUGUUACUUUGAAAAAAUUAGAGUGUUUAAAGCAGGCAUUAGCUUGAAUACAUUAGCAUGGAAUAAUGAAAUAGGACGUUCGAUCCUAUUUUGUUGGUUUCUAGGAUCAACGUAAUGAUUAAUAGGGAUAGUUGGGGGCAUUAGUAUUCAAUUGUCAGAGGUGAAAUUCUUGGAUUUAUUGAAGACUAACUACUGCGAAAGCAUUUGCCAAGGAUGUUUUCAUUAAUCAAGAACGAAAGUUAGGGGGUCGAAGACGAUCAGAUACCGUCGUGGUCUUAACCAUAAACUAUGCCGACUAGGGAUCGGAUGAUGUUAAUUUUUUAAUGACUCAUUCGGCGCCUUACGGGAAAC